AGGACGAACGCUGGCGGCGUGCUUAACACAUGCAAGUCACGGGGGCUCGCAAGAGCAACCGGCGAACGGGUGCGUAACACGUGAGCAACCUGCCUUUGUGUGGGGGAUAGCCGGGCUAACGCCCGGGUAAUACCGCAUACGGUUCCCGCGAGGAGUCUCGUGGGAAAGAAACCUCCGGGGCACAGAGAGGGGCUCGCGGCCUAUCAGCUAGUUGGCGGGGUAAUGGCCCACCAAGGCGACGACGGGUAGC
rnacentral:rRNA from 1 species